CAGCCCUCCAAGCCAGGACUGCUUCUGACUAGUUUUUGAGAAAAAGUCUUGGUCUCGGGUUCACUCAGAGAGGACAGCCAUGCCCAACUUAUUCUCAAUAGAAAACUGAAACAGAGAGAGAAUGAGAAACACAUCCAUCUUCUUUCUACCCACCUACCAUAUGUGGACUUCUUGCAUUGGUGAGUGUGAAAGAAGGAAGCAGAAAGCCUUGAUGAUGGUCAUAUUUUCAUUCAUCCAUAAUGCAGCCUUUGCGCAAGUUGAAAGACCGUUGAGAACAGGAAUGUUAUCUCACCCUUCACAGCCCAAACAAAGCCUAGCACUGGAUCUUGCCAGAGGUGGUGAGUAG
rnacentral:lncRNA from 1 species